rnacentral:rRNA from 1 species
CCUACGGGAGGCAGCAGUGAGGAAUAUUGGUCAAUGGACGAGAGUCUGAACCAGCCAAGUAGCGUGAAGGAUGACUGCCCUAUGGGUUGUAAACUUCUUUUAUAUGGGAAUAAAAUGUUCCACGUGUGGGAUUUUGUAUGUACCAUAUGAAUAAGGAUCGGCUAACUCCGUACCAGCAGCCGCGGUAAUACGGAGGAUCCGAGCGUUAUCCGGAUUUAUUGGGUUUAAAGGGAGCGUAGGUGGAUUGUUAAGUCAGUUGUGAAAGUUUGCGGCUCAACCGUAAAAUUGCAGUUGAAACUGGCAGUCUUGAGUACAGUAGAGGUGGGCGGAAGUCGUGGUGUAGCGGUGAAAUGCUUAGAUAUCACGAAGAACUCCGAUUGCGAAGGCAGUUCACUGGACUGCAACUGACACUGAGGCUCGAAAGUGUGGGUAUCAAACAGGAUUAGAUACCCUAGUAGUC